CAUAACACAUCAUGACUCAUCAAGAUGGAUGAAUUAGAAAACAACUUUAAGGAACCAAAUGAAAAUGCUGGUUUUGGACAAUUGUCAAACUACACGCACCAAAAUAGAAAGACAAAGAAAAUAAGAAAAUGAGGGCAACAUCAGUCCACGGGAGACAUCAAAGGAGUGGGCUUUGAUUAAAAACACCCACAUAGAACCAUAAAAUAAAAGAGGAGGCACGAAUAGCAAACAGGGGAACGGUAGCACGCAGCAGGACAGUAGUUCGACGACGCAGCAGACGCAAGGGGGGUUCGACGAAGGCAGAGCACGAAACCGGACGACGGAGUACUGAACCUGCAAUCGGAUUUUUCGACCAUGGCUGCUUAUAAUUGGGUUGACAUUGACGCAAGGACGCGAUGACACGAUGACAUGACGAUGUAUGGCACAGUGGCGAAGAAAUUCAGACCCGAAGACGUAGCAGGCAACGUGGAAUUUGAAGCUAGAGCAUUAAAUAAGUAACGGUCCGACUUAAUAAGGGAAGAGUUUAACAAGCCAUAAAUUCAGCCGUUGAGGAGCGUGAGUCGAGACGUUGGCGCAUAAGUGAAGGAGAUCGCCGUGAUUUAAGCAUGAAAAUCAAUGUAAUAAUGAGUAGAUUUAUUAUUGUAUUCGCUGGGAAAUAGCGGAAGAAAAGAGAAGGCAUAUAAAAGAGAGAGAGAGGUCAUUUUCAUGUUUUUUAUGCAACAUUGUGAGAACGACACUAGGGUGAACUAAGCAUUCUUGUAAACGACACUCAGUCACGAAGAAAGAUAGUAGACAAUAUUAGUUUGGUGGAUCUCCAACCACCCGCGGUUUUUUACCCAUCUUCAUUGGGGUUUUUCGCGUCACUA